CCCACUUCCUUCCUGUCAGGCAUGGAUCAGACACACCACCUCUACCUUCCCGCACCGACCACGCCCCUUCAGACCCGCCCACCCCGUGGCACCUGUGCAUCCUGUGGUGCCCCAGCCACCUGCCUCGGGCGUUGCGGUGGACGACAGGCUGGACGACAGCGAGUACCACUUCUCGUGGCGCCAUGACGGCAGCAAGACCUACACGUGGGAUGGCGCCAACCAGUACUGCCGCAGCCUCGGCUCCGGCUGGCAGGGAAUCAGCAUCGAGACUCGAGAGGAGGACAGUCUCGUCAGCAAAGCCAUUUCAGGAGAUCUGCUACCGUGGAUUUGGACCUCGGGUCACCUCAGCAGACACGGCUUGGACUGGGCUUGGGAUUCAGGUGCACAAUUCGUGGGUCUGAACUGGUCUCACACCGGCGGGAAUGGUCAAGCACAACCAGACAACCGCGAGCGAGGGGGCGAGAAGUGCCUGGGGGUUCUCAACAACUUCUACAACGACGGCGUCAAGUGGCACGACAUCGCCUGCCACCACGACAAGGCCAUCAUCUGCGAGCGCAAAGCCCGAGUCCACG